rnacentral:rRNA from 1 species
GGAAAGGUGAAAAGAACCCCGGGAGGGGAGUGAAAGAGAACCUGAAACUGUGUGCUUACAAUUAGUCAGAGCCCGUUAAUGGGUGAUGGCAUGCCUUUUGUAGAAUGAACCGGCGAGUUACGGUAUCUAGCAAGGUUAAGCUUAAAGGAGCGGAGCCGAAGCGAAAGCGAGUCUGAAUAGGGCGUUAAGUUAGGUGCUGUAGACCCGAAACUGGGUGAGCUAGCCAUGAGCAGGUUGAAGUUUGGGUAAGACCAAAUGGAGGACCGAACCAGGGCACGUUAAAAAGUGCUUGGAUGACUUGUGGCUAGGGGUGAAAUUCCAAUCGAACCCAGAGAUAGCUGGUUCUCCCCGAAAUAGCUUUAGGGCUAGCGUUAGCGUAGAGAGUUUCAUGAAGGUAGAGCACUGAAUGUGUGAUGGCCCCACCUCGGGGUACUGAGCCCAAUCAAACUACGAAUGUCAUAAAAUAUAGCUAGCAGUCAGACUGUGGGUGAUAAGGUUCAUGGUCAAAAGGGAAAGAGCCCAGACCGUCAGAUAAGGUCCCAAAAUGGAUGCUAAGUGGAAAAGGAAGUGGAGAUGCACAAACAACUAGGAGGUUGGCUUAGAAGCAGCCAUCCUUUAAAGAGUGCGUAAAAGCUCACUAGUCGAGUGAAUCUGCGCCGAAAAUGUACCGGGGCUAAGCAUCCUACCGAAUCUACGGAUUGAUAAUUAAUUAUCAGUGGUAGGGGAGCGUUCCAACAGCGGAGAAGGUAGAUCGGAAGGACUACUGGAGUGGUUGGAAGUGAGAAUGCCGGUGUAAGUAACGAAAAGAUAGGUGAGAAUCCUAUCCGUCGAAAACCCAAGGUUUCCAGGGGAAGGUUCGUCCGCCCUGGGUAAGUCGGGGCCUAAGGUGAGGCUGAAGAGCGUAGCCGAUGGAUAGCAGGUAGAGAUUCCUGCACUAGUUUGUAGACUGAAGGAGUGACAAAGGAGGCUAACAUCCGCCCCUCUAGUGGAUUGGGGACAAGGGAUCGAGGUUGGCGUGUAGGCAAAUCCGCACGCUAAUAAGACUGAGAUCCGGUAGGUAAAGGAUGAUGACGUCAAACUUUCAAGAAAAGCUUCUAGGGUUAAUUUACUAACUACCCGUACCGUAAACCGACACAGGUGGGUGGGUAGAGAAUACUAAGACGCGCGAGAAAACCCUUGUUAAGGAACUCGGCAAAAUGACUCCGUAACUUCGGGAUAAGGAGGACUUUUAAUGAAAAAAGAAAGUCGCAGAGAAUAGGCCCAAGCGACUGUUUAUCAAAAACACAGGUCUCUGCAAAACCGUAAGGUGAAGUAUAGGGGCUGACGCCUGCCCGGUGCUGGAAGAUUAAGAGGAGAUGUUAGGCAACGAAGCAUUGAAUUGAAGUCCCAGUAAACGGCGGCCGUAACUAUAACGGUCCUAAGGUAGCGAAAUUCCUUGUCGGGUAAGUUCCGACCCGCACGAAAGGCGUAACGAUUUGGGCACUGUCUCAACAAGGGACUCGGUGAAAUCAAGCUGCCGGUGAAAACGCCGGCUACCCGCGACAGGACGAAAAGACCCCAUGGAGCUUUACUGUAGCUUGAUAUUGACAUUGGGUGUAAGAUGUACAGGAUAGGUGGGAGACUGAGAAUCUAGAACGCUAGUUUUGGAGGAGUCAACCUUGGGAUACCACCCUUCGUGCAUCUGAUGUCUAACCCGCCGAAGUGGAUUCGGGGG